UGCCAGCAGCCGCGGUAAUACGUAGGGAGCGAGCGUUAUCCGGAAUUAUUGGGCGUAAAGCGUGCGUAGGCGGUUUAUUAAGUCUGAUGUGAAAUCCCCCGGCUCAACCGGGGAGGGUCAUUGGAAACUGGUAAACUUGAGUACAGUAGAGGCAAGUGGAAUUCCAUGUGUAGCGGUAAAAUGCGUAGAUAUAUGGAGGAACACCAGUGGCGAAGGCGGCUUGCUGGGCUGGAACUGACGCUGAGGCACGAAAGCGUGGGGAGCAAACAGGAUUAGAUA
rnacentral:rRNA from 1 species